rnacentral:rRNA from 1 species
GAUGAACGCUGGCGGCGUGCUUAACACAUGCAAGUCGAACGAUGAAGCCCAGCUUGCUUGGUGGAUUAGUGGCGAACGGGUGAGUAACACGUGAGUAACCUGCCCUUAACUCUGGGAUAAGCCUGGGAAACUGGGGCUAAUACCGGAUAGGAGCGCCUACUGCAUGGUGGGUGUUGGAAAGAUUUAUCGGUUUUGGAUGGACGCGCGGCCUAUCAGCUUGUUGGUGAGGUAAUGGCUCACCAAGGCGACGACGGGUAGCCGGCCUGAGAGGGUGACCGGCCACACUGGGACUGAGACACGGCCCAGACUCCUACGGGAGGCAGCAGUGGGGAAUAUUGCACAAUGGGCGAAAGCCGGAUGCAGCGACGCCGCGUGAGGGAUGACGGCCUUCGGGUUGUAAACCUCUUUCAGUAGGGAAGAAGCGAAAGUGACGGUACCUGCAGAAGAAGCACCGGCUAACUACGUG